AUCCUUUUGUGAUUCAUAAGCAUGGUGACUGGGUUUUCAUGCUUUUGUGUGAGAUGUGCCUCCCUUAAACCUUGUUACAAUAUCAGCACAUUACCUGUCUGAUG
ensembl:snoRNA